rnacentral:rRNA from 1 species
GACGAACGCUGGCGGCGUGCUUAACACAUGCCAGUCGAACGGAAAGGCCCUGCUUUUGUGGGGUGCUCGAGUGGCGAACGGGUGAGUAACACGUGAGUAACCUGCCCUUGACUUUGGGAUAACUUCAGGAAACUGGGGCUAAUACCGGAUAGGAGCUCCUGCUGCAUGGUGGGGGUUGGAAAGUUUCGGCGGUUGGGGAUGGACUCGCGGCUUAUCAGCUUGUUGGUGGGGUAGUGGCUUACCAAGGCUUUGACGGGUAGCCGGCCUGAGAGGGUGACCGGCCACAUGGGGACUGAGAUACGGCCCAGACUCCUACGGGAGGCAGCAGUGGGGAAUAUGGCAGAAUGGGCGGAAGCCUGAUGCAGCAACGCCGCGUGCGGGAUGACGGCCUUCGGGUUGUAAACCGCUGUCGCCUGUGACGAAGCGUGAGUGACGGUAAUGGGUAAAGAAGCACCGGCUAACUACGUG